AGCUAUAGCCAUGCCACCCUGAACGUGCCCGAUCUCAUCUGAUCUCGGAAGCUAAGCAGGAUUGGGCCUGGUUAGUACUUAGAUGGGAGACCACCUAGGAAUACCAAGUACUGUAGGCG
rnacentral:rRNA from 1 species